CAGCACCUCAAGUGGUCAGGAUGAUUAUUGGGCCUAAAGCAUCCGUAGCCGGCGCUGUAAGUUUUCGGUUAAAUCUGUACGCUCAACGUACAGGCUGCCGGGAAUACUGCAGCGCUAGGGAGUGGGAGAGGUAGACGGUACUCGGUAGGAAGGGGUAAAAUCCUUUGAUCUAUUGAUGACCACCUGUGGCGAAGGCGGUCUACCAGAACACGUCCGACGGUGGGGGAUGAAAGCUGGGGGAGCAAACCGGAUUAGAGACCCGAGUAGUCC
rnacentral:rRNA from 1 species